rnacentral:rRNA from 1 species
AGUCUGGUGCCAGCAGCCGCGGUAACACCAGCUCCAAUAGCGUAUAUUAAAGUUGUUGCAGUUAAAAAGCUCGUAGUUGGAUUUCUGUCCUUGAGAAACCCUGUCCAUUUCUUUCCAGAUUUGUUGACGGGCGCUUUUCGGUCAUCCUUCGUGGAGAACAACUUGGCUCUUUAUUGAGUCCGAGUUGCAAUCCCGAUCAAUUACUUUGAAAAAAUUAGAGUGUUCAAAGCAGGCUUACGCUGUGAAUACAUUAGCAUGGAAUAAUAAGAUAGGACUUUGGUCCUAUUUUGUUGGUUUCUAGGACUAAAGUAAUGAUUGAUAGGGAUAGUUGGGGGUGCUAGUAUUCAACGGCCAGAGGUGAAAUUCGGUGAUUCGUUGAAGACUAACUCAUGCGAAAGCAUUCACCAAGGAUGUCUUCUUUAAUCAAGAACGAAAGUUGGGGGAUCGAAGACGAUCAGAUACCGUCGUAGUCUCAACCAUAAACUAUGCCGACUAGGGAUUGGCGGACGUUGUAUUUUUUGACUCCGUCAGCACCUUAUGAGAAAUCAAAGUCUUUGGGUUCCGGGGGGAGUAUGGUCGCAAGGCUGAAACUUAAAGGAAUUGACGGAAGGGCACCACCAGGAGUGGAGCCUGCGGCUUAAUUUGACCCAACACGGGAAAACUUACCAGGUCCAGACAUAGUGAGGAUUGACAGAUUGAAGAUCUUUCUUGAUUCUAUGGGUGGUGGUGCAUGGCCGUUCUUAGUUGGUGGAGUGAUUUGUCUGGUUAAUUCCGAUAACGAACGAGACCUCAGCCUACUAAAUAGUUGUGCGAAUUCUUUUUUGACUUCGUGAUCAACUUCUUAGAGGGACAUUUGGAUUUCAGCCAAAGGAAGUUUGAGGCAAUAACAGGUCUGUGAUGCCCUUAGAUGUUCUGGGCUGCACGCGCGCUACACUGGCACGUUCAACGAGCUUACAACCUUGACCGGUAGGUCUGGGUAAUCUUUGAAAGCGUGCCGUGAUGGGGCUAGAUUAUUGUAAUUAUUAAUCUUAAACGAGGAAUUCCUAGUAAGCGCAAGUCAUCAGCUUGCAUUGAUUACGUCCCUGCCCUUUGUACACACCGCCCGUCGCUCCUACCGAUUGAAUGAUCCGGUGAAAUCUCAGGACUGGGACUUGAAGAACAAUUUUGUUCAUUUCUUGUCUUGGGAAUUUGAUUAAACCUUAUCAUUUAGAGGAAGGAGAAGUCGUAACAAGGU